rnacentral:rRNA from 1 species
GUCGGCCUACGGGGCGCAGCAGUGAGGAAUAUUGGUCAAUGGCCGCAGGGCUGAACCAGCCAAGUCGCGUGAGGGAUGACGGUCCUAUGGAUUGUAAACCUCUUUUGACAGGGAGCAAAGGGCGCCACGUGUGGCGUUUUGCGAGUACCUGAAGAAAAAGCAUCGGCUAACUCCGUGCCAGCAGCCGCGGUAAUACGGAGGAUGCGAGCGUUAUCCGGAUUUAUUGGGUUUAAAGGGUGCGUAGGCGGGCUGUUAAGUCAGCGGUAAAAGCCCGGGGCUAAACCCCGGCGAGCCGUUGAAGCUGG